rnacentral:rRNA from 1 species
UACAGAGGUGGCAAGCGUUGUUCGGAAUUACUGGGCGUAAAGGGCGCGUAGGCGGUUCGUUAAGUCCUGUGUGAAAUCCCCCGGCUCAACUGGGGAACUGCACAGGAAACUGGCGGGCUUGAGUUCGGGAGAGGGAUGCGGAAUUCCAGGUGUAGCGGUGAAAUGCGUAGAUAUCUGGAGGAACACCGGUGGCGAAGGCGGCAUCCUGGACCAUUACUGACGCUGAUGAGCGAAAGCCAGGGGAGCAAACGGG